rnacentral:rRNA from 1 species
GGGUGGAUUAGUGGCGAACGGGUGAGUAACACGUGGGCAAUCUGCCCUUCACUCUGGGACAAGCCCUGGAAACGGGGUCUAAUACCGGAUACCACUCCUGCCUGCAUGGGCGGGGGUUGAAAGCUCCGGCGGUGAAGGAUGAGCCCGCGGCCUAUCAGCUUGUUGGUGGGGUAAUGGCCCACCAAGGCGACGACGGGUAGCCGGCCUGAGAGGGCGACCGGCCACACUGGGACUGAGACACGGCCCAGACUCCUACGGGAGGCAGCAGUGGGGAAUAUUGCACAAUGGGCGAAAGCCUGAUGCAGCGACGCCGCGUGAGGGAUGACGGCCUUCGGGUUGUAAACCUCUUUCAGCAGGGAAGAAGCGAAAGUGACGGUACCUGCAGAAGAAGCGCCGGCUAACUACGUGCCAGCAGCCGCGGUAAUACGUAGGGCGCAAGCGUUGUCCGGAAUUAUUGGGCGUAAAGAGCUCGUAGGCGGCUUGUCACGUCGGAUGUGAAAGCCCGAGGCUUAACCUC